CCCCUAGAUGUUCUGGGCCGCACGCGCGCUACACUGAACAGUUCAACAAGUCUUAACCUUGGCCGACAGGUCUGGGUAAUCUUUGAACGCUGUUCGUGAUUGGGAUAGACCUUUGCAAUUAUGGGUCUUCAACGAGGAAUUCCUAGUAAACGCAAGUCAUCAGCUUGCAUUGAUUACGUCCCUGCCCUUUGUACACACCGCCCGUCGCACCUACCGAUUGAAUGGUCCGGUGAAAUCUCGGGACGGCGGCUUGGUCGCUUGCGUCCGACUGCUGAAACUUGAUUAAACCAUAUCAUUUAGAGGAAGGUGAAGUCGUANCA
rnacentral:rRNA from 1 species